rnacentral:rRNA from 2 species
AUUCCGGUUGAUCCUGCCGGAGGUCAUUGCUAUCGGGGUCCGAUUUAGCCAUGCUAGUUGCACGAGUUUAGACUCGUAGCGGAAAGCUCAGUAACACGUGGUCAAACUACCCUCAAGACGGCGAUACCCUCGGGAAACUGAGGCUAAUAGCCGAUACGUCCGCUCAGGUGGAAGACCGAGCGGGCUUAACCGCUGAGGCGCUUGAGGAUGUGGCUGCGGCCGAUUAGGUAGACGGUGGGGUAACGGCCCACCGUGCCUAUAAUCGGUACGGGUUGUGAGAGCAAGAGCCCGGAGACGGAAUCUGAGACAAGAUUCCGGGCCCUACGGGGCGCAGCAGGCGCGAAACCUUUACACUGCACGCCAGUGCGAUAGGGGGACCCCGAGUGCGAGGGCAUACUAGCCCUCGCUUUUGUGAACCGUAAGGCGGUUCACGAACAAGAGCUGGGCAAGACCGGUGCCAGCCGCCGCGGUAAUACCGGCAGCUCGAGUGAUGACCGAUUUUAUUGGGCCUAAAGCGUCCGUAGCUGGCCACGAAAGCCCGUCGGGAAAUCUCUCGGCUCAACCGAGAGGCGUCCGGCGGAACCUCCGUGGCUUGGAACCGGAAGGCUCAGAGGGUACGUCCAGGGUAGGAGUGAAAUCCUGUAAUCCUGGACGGACCACCGAUGGCGAAAGCACUCUGAGAGGACGGAUUCGACAGUGAGGGACGAAAGCUAGGGUCUCGAACCGGAUUAGAUACCCGGGUAGUCCUAGCCGUAAACGAUGCCUGUUAGGUGUGGCUCCCACUACGAGUGGGUGCUGUGCCGUAGGGAAGCCGCUAAACAGGCCGCCUGGGAAGUACGUCCGCAAGGAUGAAACUUAAAGGAAUUGGCGGGGGAGCACUACAACCGGAGGAGCCUGCGGUUUAAUUGGACUCAACGCCGGACAUCUCACCAGCUCCGACUGUAAUGAUGACAGUCAGGUUACCGACCUCUACUACGAGUUACAGAGAGGAGGUGCAUGGCCGCCGUCAGCUCGUACCGUGAGGCGUCCUGUUAAGUCAGGCAACGAGCGAGACCCGCACUCUUAAUUGCCAGCACCACCCCCGGGUGGGUGGGUACAUUAGGAGGACUGCCGUGGCUAACACGGAGGAAGGAACGGGCAACGGUAGGUCAGUAUGCCCCGAAUGAGCUGGGCUACACGCGGGCUACAAUGGUCAGGACAAAGGGUUCCAACGCCGAGAGGCGACGGUAAUCUCAGAAACCUGAUCGUAGUUCGGAUUGUGGGUUGAAACUCACCCACAUGAAGCUGGAUUCGGUAGUAAUCGCGUGUCAGUAGCGCGCGGUGAAUACGUCCCUGCUCCUUGCACACACCGCCCGUCAAAGCACCCGAGUGAGGUCCGGAUGAGGCCCUGUCACCAGGGUCGAAUCUGGGCUUCGCAAGGGGGCUUAAGUCGUAACAAGGUAGCCGUAGGGGAAUCUGCGGCUGGAUCACCUCCU